rnacentral:rRNA from 1 species
UACGAAGGGGGCUAGCGUUGCUCGGAAUCAUUGGGCGUAAAGCGCACGUAGGCGGAUUGCUAAGUCAGGGGUGAAAUCCUGGAGCUCAACUCCAGAACUGCCUUUGAUACUGGUGAUCUUGAGUCCGGGAGAGGUGAGUGGAACUGCGAGUGUAGAGGUGAAAUUCGUAGAUAUUCGCAAGAACACCGGUGGCGAAGGCGGCAUCCUGGACCAACACUGACGCUGAGUGAGCGAAAGCCAGGGGAGCAAACGGG